rnacentral:rRNA from 1 species
UGCCCUAUGAAUCUAUUUAAAUGGCCGCGGUACCCUGACCGUGCUAAGGUAGCAUAAUAAUUUGCCUCUUAAUUAGAGGCUGGAAUGAAGGAACAUACGAGAGUGAGACUGUUUCAUUUUUAUUUUAUGAAAAUUAACCUUUAGGUGAAGAGACCUAAAUUCUAAAAAAAGACAAAAAGACCCUAUUGAGCUUUACCUAACCAAUAUUAAAUAAAUUAUACAAUACAUACACAAAAUAUUGAAUAGGUUUUGUUGGGGCGACAGAAGAAGAUCUAAAUCUUCUUUAAACCCUUAGGCCAUAAACCUUAUAAAGAUCCGGAAUACCGAUUAAAAGAUUCAGCUACCAUAGGGAUAACAGGCUAAUUUUCUCUGAGAGCCCAUAUUGACGAGAAAGAUUG